rnacentral:rRNA from 1 species
AUGAACGCUGGCGGCGUGCCUUAUCCAUGCAAGUCGAGCGAACAGACGAGGAGCUUGCUCCUCUGACGUUAGCGGCGGACGGGUGAGUAACACGUGGAUAACCUACCUAUAAGACUGGGAUAACUUCGGGAAACCGGAGCUAAUACCGGAUAAUAUAUUGAACCGCAUGGUUCAAUAGUGAAAGACGGUUUUGCUGUCACUUAUAGAUGUAUCCGCGCCGCAUUAGCUAGUUGGUAAGGUAACGGCUUACCAAGGCGAAGAUGCGUAGCCGACCUGAGAGGGUGAUCGGCCACACUGGAACUGAGACACGGUCCAGACUCCUACGGGAGGCAGCAGUAGGGAAUCUUCCGCAAUGGGCGAAAGCCUGACGGAGCAACGCCGCGUGAGUGAUGAAGGUCUUCGGAUCGUAAAACUCUGUUAUUAGGGAAGAACAAAUGUGUAAGUAACUAUGCACGUCUUGACGGUACCUAAUCAGAAAGCCACGGCUAACUACGUG